rnacentral:rRNA from 1 species
GACGUAGGGUGCAAGCGUUGUCCGGAUUUACUGGGCGUAAAGAGCGCGUAGGCGGUCUGUUAAGUGAGAAGUGAAAGCUCCGGGCUCAACUCGGAAAUGGCUCUUCAUACUGGCAGACUGGAGUGAUGCAGAGGUUUGUGGAAUUCCUGGUGUAGCGGUGAAAUGCGUUGAUAUCAGGAGGAACACCCAUGGCGAAGGCAGCAAACUGGGCAUCAACUGACGCUGAGGCGCGAAAGCGUGGGUAGCAAACAGG